rnacentral:rRNA from 1 species
AGUGAACGCUGGCGGUAGGCCUAACACAUGCAAGUCGAACGGCAGCACAGUAAGAGCUUGCUCUUACGGGUGGCGAGUGGCGGACGGGUGAGGAAUACAUCGGAAUCUACUUUUUCGUGGGGGAUAACGUAGGGAAACUUACGCUAAUACCGCAUACGACCUACGGGUGAAAGCGGGGGAUCUUCGGACCUUGCGCGAUUGAAUGAGCCGAUGUCGGAUUAGCUAGUUGGCGGGGUAAAGGCCCACCAAGGUGACGAUCCGUAGCUGGUCUGAGAGGAUGAUCAGCCACACUGGAACUGAGACACGGUCCAGACUCCUACGGGAGGCAGCAGUGGGGAAUAUUGGACAAUGGGCGCAAGCCUGAUCCAGCCAUACCGCGUGGGUGAAGAAGGACUUCGGGUUGUAAAGCCCUUUUGUUGGGAAAGAAAAGCAGCAGGUUAAUACCCCGCUGUUCUGACGGUACCCAAAGAAUAAGCACCGGCUAACUUCGUG